UUGGUACUCCCUCCGUCCGGAAUUACUUGUCAUCAAAAUGGAUGAAAACGGAUGUGUCUAGAACUAAAAUACAUCUAGAUACAUCCAUUUCAAUGACAAGUAUUUUCGGACGGAGGGAGUAUAAU
rfam:Triticum aestivum genome assembly, contig: Triticum_aestivum_CS42_TGACv1_scaffold_030289_1BL